rnacentral:rRNA from 1 species
UCGAGAAUAAUUCGCAAUGGACGAAAGUCUGACGCAGCGACGCCGCGUGGAUGAUGAAGGCCUUCGGGUUGUAAAGUCCGGUAAGCAGGGAAGAAUAAGCAACGGGAAAUAUUCGUUGUGAUGACGGUACCUGCCUAAAGCCCCGGCUAACUACGUGCCAGCAGCCGCGGUAAUACGUAUGGGGCGAGCGUUGUUCGGAAUUAUUGGGCGUAAAGGGCGUCUAGGCGGGGGAUUAAGUUAGAUGUGAAAGCUAUGGGCUCAACCCAUAAAUUGCAUCUAAGACUGGUUCUCUUGAGUUCGGGAGAGGAGAGCGGAAGUCCAGGUGUAGCGGUGAAAUGCGUAGAUAUCUGGAAGAACACCAGUGGCGAAGGCGGCUCUCUGGCCUAGGACUGACGCUGAAGCGCGAAAGCGUGGGGAGCGAACA